rnacentral:tRNA from 1 species
GACCGCGUAGCUCAGUUGGCAGAGCAUUGGGCUAGAAUUCCAAAAGUCAUAGGUUCGAUUCCCACUGUGGUCA